rnacentral:rRNA from 1 species
CCUACGGGAGGCAGCAGUGGGGAAUAUUGGGCAAUGGGCGCAAGCCUGAACCAGCCAAGUCGCGUGAGGGAAGACGGUCCUAUGGAUUGUAAACCUCUUUUGUCGGGGAGCAAAAGACGCCACGCGUGGCGUUCCGAGAGUACCCGAAGAAAAAGCAUCGGCUAACUCCGUGCCAGCAGCCGCGGUAAUACGGAGGAUGCGAGCGUUAUCCGGAUUUAUUGGGGUUAAAGGGUGCGCAGGCGGAAGAUCAAGUCAGCGGUAAAAUUGAGAGGCUCAACCUCUUCGAGCCGUUGAAACUGGUGUUCUUGAGUGAGUGAGAAGUAUGCGGAAUGCGUGGUGUAGCGGUGAAAUGCAUAGAUAUCACGCAGAACUCCGAUUGCGAAGGCAGCAUACCGGCGCUCAACUGACGCUCAUGCACGAAAGUGUGGGUAUCGAACAGGAUUAGAUACCCCUGUAGUC